AUGCAAUAUAUAUAAACCGACACUUCGGUUAAAGUUCUGGAUAGAAUACUGAUAAUGACAUUUUUCUAUCUAUAUGUCUUGACCAAAUUUUGUGCCAGCAGUCGCGGCAACACAAAGGAGACAGCGUUAUUCAUCUUUAUUAGGUUUAAAGGGUACCUAGACGGCAUAUCAAGCCCCAAAAGGGAACGGAUAUACUAGAGUUUUAUGUGAGAGGCCUAUAGAACCAUUGGAGUAGAGAUAAAAUUUUAGGAUACCAUUGGGACUGGUAACGGCGAAGGCAAUCCUCUAUGUAAAAACUGACGUUGAGGGACGAAGGCUUGGGUAACGAAUAGGAUUAGAUACCCUAGUAGUCCAAGCAGAUAAUUAUGAAUGUCAUGGAUUAGAUGGCGAUAGAAAGAGAUUUAUGCCCAAAUUUUGAUCCAUAAAUGAAAGUGUAAGCAUUCCACCUCAAGAGUAAGGCGGCAACGUUGGAACUGAAAUCAUUAGACCGUUUCUGAAACCAGUAGUGAAGUAUGUUAUUUAAUUCGAUAACCCUCGAACAACCUUACCACAGUUUGAAUGUUAAUUAAAAAAUUAACACAGGCGUUGCAUGGCUGUAUUCAGUUGAUGUCGUGAGAUAUGGUUGGAUCCAUUCAAAUUAGCGUAAACCCUUGUUCAUUAUUUGUUCUAAUAAUACCGUUAACCGAUAUAGUGGAUAAUAUGAU
rnacentral:rRNA from 1 species